UUGAUCUUUGGACCACUUGCAUGCUUUCCAGUCAUCCGAGGUAAACAUUUUCCUUAACUGCACUCUCCUCGAAUGUAUGUUAUCUAGGCAUAAGUACCGGGUCGCAAAUCUUGUGACCCCAGGCUUCACAAUCUCUUUCUUCCUUGUAAAUCUACGCAUCAUGCUGAGGGUGGGAUGGUGGCCAUAAAUGAAAUUUGUAAUUGACUUUGCCUUCUUCACUGCACCUGAUAUCUCGGUUAAACCGCCAAGAGCCUCAAGCUUGAGGUCUAUAUAAUGUGCUGCACAUAUUGUCUAAAAGAUUUUAGGAUAAGCUAUGCGCAACAAAUUAGCUGCAACAACAUUAGGAGCAACAUUGUCUUGACAACCUGUACAACAUGAUGCGCUCCCCAACCUCCUUCAUUCCCUUCUCUAAAACUUGGAAUAUGUAAUGAGCAUCAUGGUUAUGAUCAGUGGCAUCAAUAGACCUCAAAAAAACAGUCCCUAAAGGACAAUUCAUAAGCAAAUUCAUCUGACUUCUUCUCUUCUUAUCACUCCAAGCAUCAGUCAUAUUAGAUACCUCAUAUUGAGCCCAUGCAUCUUUCUUAACUUCUACAGCUUCCUUCGUGACACUCACCGCCUUUUUCAAAAGAGGCUCUGAAAGCUGGGGUUGGGGGUUUCAUCCCAGGCCCAAAUUGGCCAAUUGUCUCUACCGCGGCAUAGAAGUUGCUUAAGCGAGCGGUAUUGAAAGCAAUGCUCGCCUCAUAAAAUCAUGUAGCAAGAUAAUAAGUAGCUCUCUCUCACUCUUCCUUCGUCAUUCUAUUUUCAAUGGUGGUUUACUUCUUUGUUUUCUCUCCUGCAACCUCAAGGUCAGACCAAGGCUAAAAACUAUCCAUAGGGCCCAUAACCCGAGGCUUCUUACUCCCAGAACCA
rnacentral:lncRNA from 1 species